rnacentral:lncRNA from 1 species
CGUGCGGUUACCUCAGGGGUCUCGCGUGAUCCGUGCUGCACACCCAAGACCCCAGGGGCCGCUCCAAGUCUCACGGGUGAAAGGAGGCCCAGGCAGCCCACGGGAAUAAGAGCAAAAACUGUUGGAACACGACGGACUCCAGGACCCGGGAGGAGGGGGACAAACAGCAAAGGGACCUUCCCAGACUUUCACAGGUCAGCCCAACUCAGGCCCGGCCCCACUUUUUCCUCCCGCCUCCCGCAGCCCUCAGCUUGCAGCUCCUGGAUACGUACUCCGAGAACGCUGGCUCGGAUUGGAAGAGCCCGCCCGCCAAGCAGCGCGCCUUCGCUGAGGGACGAACGGGCGCAUGCGCCGUUGCUGGGGAGCGGCGGGCUCGCGACCGCACGCGCUCUCGCUCCAGGAGCUCCGCGUCCCCGCGCGGGGGUGCGCCCUGCCCACGCGCUGCUGUGGCUUUUCAGCGUGAGGUGUCCGCGUUCCUGUCUCAGUCGCCAGAGCCGAGUGGAAAUGCAGAUUUCCAGCUUCUAACCCCUUUUCCCUGCCUGCUGAAUAAAAACCUAAGAGGUCGGAUCCCAGAUCCUGCUUUUUGAAACUGGUUCUUCUGCCCAUCUUUAGAGCCACAGCAACGGUGGGCUGGUCCCGGGGCCUGGGGAGAAAUUCUCUGGGCUCGGGUUCUGCCCAACUGCCUGGUUUACCUCUGUCUGGACAGCUCUCUGCCUGCACAGGGCAUCCUGUCCCCUCUUCCCGUCCCCAUUGUAUCCCAGCUGGG